UGCAUCUGUACUAUUUUUUCUGGAAUCAUUUCUACAUAAUCAUGUAACUGAUUAUUACAAGUUGUUUGGGAAAAAAUCAGUGCGGAGACCAGUAAGGUAAUGUGUGAUGGGUCCCUUGUGCUAAUGCAGUCUAUUGCAUACACUUUCUGCAAACUUCCUUUGGAGAGAUUGAUCUGCAUGUACUAUGACAUCAUCACUGGAUAUUAUCACUGGAUGGUUCAAAGAUAUCAGGAAGAUGCCAAUUCUUCAUCGCUGCCUAAGCCACAUUAUGAAGAAUGCGAAAGUGUUCUGCAAGAAACAUUCCCCAAAACACUACAGACUGUCCAUGCAUCUUUUUGGACUCCUGACAAGUGCUGCCACACUGAUGGAGAUGGAUGACAUCAUUAUUAGCAUGACAGUCAUGUUCUCCAGCUCCCAUAGUGGUGACAAUGUACAAAAGCACCUCCAAAAUCUUCAGAACAGGAUGGAGAGAAUGGGCAUGUAUGAAGGAAGUUACUGUGGUGACAAUGACUUUCAGGUUUGUGACACAGCCUAAUAUUCUGGUUGCCUUUCAAGUCAGUUAUUUUAAUGUGGUUAUGGCAUACUGAAAUAGGGAUAAUGGUACAAUGCUAGUAUGUUUCUAGUAGUUUUUUUCCCCCUUAAAUACAGAAUAAAAUUAUUAUUAAUUUGCAGGUUAAAGUGGGACCAACACCAUUUCACACUCAUUUUUAAGAAAUAAUGGAAAAUGCACCUGUAUGUGAAAAUGGGGAGACAAAUGAGUAUCAUUCACCUACAUUCAUGCCUAGCCUGUUAAAAUAUUUCCUACCUCAGGCACCUCUCUGGUCUGGUCUUAUGUUGGGUGAUCUUGGCCGCCAUGGAAAAGGACCAGCCUACAAAUGUCUGUCCAACAACUUUAUGCGCUGCAGAGACUUACCUACACAGAACUACACAGAGGACAACAAAACACAGGGUGUGAUGGAGAAAAGUCAGUGGGAUCUGAAGAAAAUACGAUUCCAGAGACGCCGUUUUACAAGACUUGAUGACUUUGUUCACAUUUAUCAGCACACCCAUAAUGCUCUAUUAAUGGAGUUCUCUGACUCCGUACGCAAGAAAAAGACACACAGGGUACAUGUCGAGCGCUGGAAACAAAGAAAGCCUCGCAGGAAAGCAAUUUAUGUGUCACCACUUAAAAAGGGUUUCCCAUUCAAGACAGCCAAAAAGCAUCAAGGCGGCGCGGCAUGGAGGCAAUCAGGCUUUGACACAGCUUAGGUGCCAAAUCCUGCUGGAAAAUAAAAUCAUCAUCUCCAAAAAGCUUGUCGGCAGCAGGAAGCAUGAAGUGCUCUAAAAUUUCCUGGUAUACAGCUGUGUUUAAUUGAUAAAAGACAAUGGACCCACACCAGCAGAUGACAUGGCUCCCCAAUUCAUCACUGACUGUGGAAACUUCACACUGGACUUUAAGCAGCUUGACUUUUGUGCC